GACGAACGCUGGCGGCGUGCUUAACACAUGCAAGUCGAACGGAAAGACCCUGCUUUUGUGGGGUGCUCGAGUGGCGAACGGGUGAGUAACACGUGAGUAACCUGCCCUUGACUUUGGGAUAACUUCAGGAAACUGGGGCUAAUACCGGAUAGGAGCUCCUGCUGCAUGGUGGGGGUUGGAAAGUUUCGGCGGUUGGGGAUGGACUCGCGGCUUAUCAGCUUGUUGGUGGGGUAGUGGCUUACCAAGGCUUUGACGGGUAGCCGGCCUGAGAGGGUGACCGGCCACAUUGGGACUGAGAUACGGCCCAGACUCCUACGUGAGGCAGCAGUGGGGAAUAUUGCACAAUGGGCGGAAGCCUGAUGCAGCAACGCCGCGUGCGGGAUGACGGCCUUCGGGUUGUAAACCGCUUUCGCCUGUGACGAAGCGUGAGUGACGGUAAUGGGUAAAGAAGCACCGGCUAACUACGUG
rnacentral:rRNA from 1 species